GUGCUUCUAACCUUGUCUGGUGUGCAUGGUGGGUCUGUAGGUGUAGUGCUACGUUUGGUGCGUGUGAGAUUGAAGGGAGUGGUGCUAGGAAUGUUAUCAGGGAUAUGGGUUGGGGUGAGAAGGGUUGAUGCUUUAGUAUGUGUUUGUUGUUCUAUUAACCAUGUGAGAGUGCCUAAGGACACCCCAAAGAUCAGUAGGAAUAUCACAAACAAAGGGCCAGAUAUCCCCAGCCUCACCCAGGGAGGGAGAAAUGUCCCUCUAACUGGGCGAGGUUCCUUUUUCAGGGAGGCGGAGUUUGAUGCCGCAUCACCUGAGGAAGGAGUGUCUUCAUUUGGAAUCGAAUUUAGGCCGCUCAAAUCAGCUCUGACUUCGGUCAGUGUUUUGGAAGGAGUUGGGGCUAGGGUGCAAUGUGUAAGGUGGUGCCAAGGUGCGCCUAAUUUACCUUUGACCUGGACUGAGUGUGAAGUAACCUCCUUCACUUCGUACGGUCCAGUCCACCUGGGUUCCAGCCACUUUCUCGUGUGGACUUUAACCCUACCCAGUCACCAACCUUUACCUUCAGUGGUGGCGUGUCCCCCGGCAGCUCCCCUUCCUGGACCUUGUGAACCUGGGUAGAGAGUGCUGCAGAGAGAACCGUCAGUUUUUUCACAUAAUCAGACAUUACACUUUGUUGUACAUCAAGGGCGGGCAUAUGACCUCCCUCCCUUGGUGGACCAGGCAUGACUCUUCCAGACACUUUUGCUAUCUUAGCUUUCAAAAUCUGAUUUAGCGUUCCAACAGACCUUGGGACCGGGGGGUGGUACACAGAACCAAAUCUGUGUGUUAUGCCAAAUCUUUCUUCCACCUGUCUCAGGUGUUUGUUAUUGAAAUGUGAGCCAUUUGUCAAAUUUGAUUUUUUUCUUUGGAUGCCAUACCUGGGUAUUAGUUUGGUUUGUUAGCCAUUUAAUGACUGACUCGGCAUCCUUCCUUGCUGUUGGUAUUGCCUCUACCCAUUUGGAGAACCUAUCUAUCAUAACUAGGAGAUAGUGUUUAUCUUUAGAAUACAUUGUCGGGGCCCAUGUCGGUGUAAUCUAUACUAAUGUCCUGAAAACAUGCAUUAGGUACUGGGUAUUAGCCCCUCGGUGUUUGAUAUGAUUUCUUUGGGUUGUGGCUGCCACCUAUGUUGCAUUUGUCACAAAAUAAGUCAGUCAUACCUAAUCAUAUGAGGGUGCCACCAGAUGUGCGAGACCUUUUGAAGGGUCUUUAGUUUGCCUUUGUGUGUGGGGCCAUGUGCUUCUCGUAAAAGUUCUGGGUCCAUCAAUGUGGACUGCUCCAUGGGCAUAGGCUGAGUCUGUAUAGUUAUUCACAGUCUUUCCUUUUCCUCUGAUGAGGGCCUGCGUCAAUCCGAUGAUUUCAGCUAAUUGAGCAGGUACUGGUUGAGGGAUGAUGCUUGAUUGCAGGGUGACAUCACGAGGUGAGCUGUUUUUUCAAUAGCUUUUGCUACUGCAGCAACGUAUCUGGAGCAUGUUGUCUGUCCUACCUCAAUGUGGUCAAGUUUGGAAGAGUAGUACAUCAAGACCCUUCUCUCCCCCUCUUGUUUCUGGAAUAGGACGGAUGAGGUGAAUCCUUCCUUUUCAGAAACAUCCAAAUGGAACUUGUUCUUGUAGUCAGGUGCAGUCAGAGCUCCUGCCGCUGAUAGCUCUGUUUUCAGGAGUGCUAUGGCUGUUGAUGCUCCAGCCGUCCAGGCCAGGGGUGCAUGGAGGUUCCUUGGUCGUAGGAUGACCAGUGCUGCCACCCCCUCUGGGCCUCACACAAUAGUACAACACCUGAUAGGUGGGGUGAGGUGCAUCAUGUCUUCGUCCCAGUCUGCAGUGUAGGGGCAGCCAUCAGUGCCUCAGCUUGGGGAGUCUUGUAUGGGUGCAGAGUGUAGAUGUGAGGGGUGGUAGGCCCUGUGGGUAGGCAUUUUAGCCAGUAUACUUCUUGGGUUUCAGACAGCGUGGGCGUCGGCUGGAGUGGCAUCAUCAUAAUUCUUGCUGGGCGAUCAGGUGUUGGUGGAUACUUCCACUCCACUUUCA
ensembl:lncRNA